GAUGUUUUAAAAUUCAUUGUGUUUGUGCUGCAAGUUUUAUGAACUGGUUAUAAAGCUUAUGUAUGAAGAACCGUUUACUGCCUGGUUAGCUGCAGUAGAGCACUCAUAGGAAUUGGGAGAUCUGUGGAAUCCCUUUGUGGCUUGCAAAUUUCAACCUGUUUUCAAAAAUUGCUUAGUUGGUCAGUGUGUUAAUAUUUCAAUUUUCAGGUCUGGUAAAGAAAGUUAUUUAAAGGCAGUGUGCAAGGUUUUCCUUAAUAAUAGCAUGUACACAGGAAAAAAAAGCUUAAUAUUAGAUAUUUUGUUAUAAUCAGUUUGUGGUCCGUCCAUAGCUAAACAUGAACAUAGAUAUUUUUUACUUUUAUUAGUACUAUAUACAUAUAAUAAAUAAAAGGUUGUAUCUUGCAUCUUCUAAUCCUUAAAGUGGCAUGGUGGCCUAGUGUGUGUGUUGUUUAUCUAUGAAAUUUAUACAUGUAUACUAAUAUCUAGGCUACAUUAUGAUGUACUUCUCAAAGAACAGUAUGUUUAAAAUGCAGGUUUAUACUAAUUUAAAUACAGGUACAAAUUAAUCCUGUGUUGUAUAUAGCAGAAUGUCCCUUAUUUUCACUGUUAUCUUUUAAAACUGUUCAGGUACACUUCACCUGCAUAAAACUAGUUCAGAUAUAUAUGUCCCAUAGAGCAAAACAAUUGUCACUAAAUCAUUGUAUAAUCGUUAUUGGCAGUUCACUUCUGUAGUUUCUGAAAUGAAAAAUUGUUGUUACCUACCUUCACUCUUAAUUCAGUUUUAGUGGAAUGCUUAAUUUCAUUUUUUUUUCUUUAUUAGUUGUAAGUAGUGGGCUCUGUGUUCUGAUUAGUUCCUAAAUUGAACACAUGUUUAAACGUCGGUUGUUAAAUUGUAUAACAUGUUAAUGCAGAAUUGUACCAUAACAUGAAAUUGUAUUUUUUGCUUUGUACAUUGUUUGAAAUGUUACCAUCUUGUUUCUAAUAAAUGUUUUUUAUAAUUCACCAUCUAGUCCUAUUUGCAAAAAAGUGAACCAUUUAAAUAUUGUAUUUAAAGUAUACACCCGUUAGCCUUACUUAAGUCGUGAACAUUUCGUAGGCAUUUGUUAUCCCCAGUAAUAGGCGGAGGGAUAUUGUUUUGGCGCUGUUUGUCCGUCCUUCCGUCCGUCCGGCACUUUUGUGUCCAGAGCCAUAUCUUGUUAGUGCUUUAGCGGAUUUCAUUGAAACUUGGUAUGAGUAUAUUAUAUGGAUAAGAGGAUGAUGUACACUUUGUAUCUUGAAAAAAAUGCUUUUUAAUAUAAUCUUAGAGCUUUAUCUUCACUAACACAUGAGCCAGAGCCAUGAAACUUGCCAUAGUUGUUCUCAAUCAUCUAGGGGUGCUUCACAUUCAACAUCCAUAAUUCUAGGGGCUAAGGUCAUGGCCCUUUGUAUCUUGAAAAAAAUGCUUUUUGAUAGAAGCUUAGAGCUUUAUCUUCAUUAACACAUGAGCCAGAGCCAUGCAACUUUCUAUAGUUAUUCCAAUCAUCUGGGGUUGUUUCACAUUCAACACCCAUAAUCCUAGGGGCUAAGGUCAAGGUCACACAUUGAGGUCAAAGGUCACAAAUUUGAGGAAUUAUUCAUUAAUUGGUAAUUCCUUUACUAUGCAUCAAGGAAUUCUGUUAUAACUGUCACAAUUGUUCUCAAUUAUCUAGCUGAGUUUCAAAUAUAAGAUCCAGGUUGCUAGGGUCAUGGUCAAAGUCACACACAAAGGUCAAAAUCACACAUUUUGAUCAUAUAUAUAUAUAUAUAUAUAUAUAUAUAUAUAUAUAUAUAUAUAUAUAUAUAUAUAUAUAUAUAUAUAUAUAUAUAUAUAUAUAUAUAUAUAUAUAUAUAUAUUAAAACUCAGACCCCACAUAGAUUGCAACCGUCAAUAUUUUCUACACCGAAGUACCAUUAAAAGACCAGUAUUGUUAGUGAGUAUGCACAUUAAGAUCUUAUGCUGAAUGUUCAGUUGGAGUAUGAAUGCUAUUCCAACCACUAUUUCACUUUUAAAAUAUGUAACCACCAAUUGCGAGUCCGCAUGCAAAGAUGUAUUGUAUUUAUUAAAUUUAGAAUUUCUAAAUUCUGGAUAUUAUUUAGAGUAGCAGCAAUCUCAACAUUUCUUACACAAAUUUUAUUCUGUUAAUAAGACGUGUAUAGUAUAGUGCAGGUUAUAAUCUGUUUUUAAAACUAUUAUAUCUAAACAUGUAAUAUACUUUUCUAUUAUUGCAUAAAAAUAGUCAUGUAUUAGUUUUAAUACAUUUUAAAAGUACAUAGGUGAGACUGUAUCAAUUUACUGAUGUUUUUAUCAGUGUAAAUAAUGAAUAACAUGUAUGUACAUUAAGGUCCCUUAUAAGUCUUUUGUUGAACGGUCAUAUAGAAUGCAAUGUAUCUAUUUUAUGAAUGUUGAAAGACAUUUGUACAAUACAUUGUAUAUAGACUGGGACUAUAACAAUGAACUAAAAUUGCUUGCUAAAACAUUUGAAUGAAGUUGAAGAAAGGUAACUCUUUAGGGCUUAAAAAUGGUUGGCAAUAUGGUUCGAGUUACUUCCCUUCAAGCUUACGUGUGGCUAGCAAUUUUACUUAAUACAUUAUGAAAACUGAUUUUAAGUUGAUAUUACAUUGGAGAUUUAUAUUAUCACCACGAUUCAUCUUAAUCAAGGAAUGACCAUGGUAAUUGGAAGAUCUUUUAAGAUGUGUAAUUGUUUGCGCAAUAAUGCAUUUUGUAAUGACGGGCACUAUAUUGGAAGUGUAUGGCAUUCUUGAUAGGGUCGGUGGUGGUAAUGUAGUUUUUACCAUGUAUAGUCAUGAUAGUCAUGUAACGUACAUUGAUAAGCGUUGAAUAAGUCUCUUAUAAUUCCUUUCAUGAAUGGCCAAUGUUGUAUCUAUAGCUUUAUGUUUUAUAUAUGCAUUGUGAAAAUUGUAAAUAUUGGAUGAGACUAUAAUAAACUAUAAAACGUG